GCUCGACGCCCAAAACUUGAAUUACUAAUCGCAGGAGCUAAACAGUAUUGAACACAACUGGCACUAAGGACUGGCACUCGCACCGCAAUUGCUAAACACCUGUACUAAUCGAAGUGUAAGCUAGCCUUAAGUCAUUUGUGACAAACAAGUUACAAGUAGCAUCUGUGGACUGUGACAGCACGGUGUGACAGUCUUACUGACGUAUGACACAUUUCUAAGUUAAAAGCACAAGGACAACUGCACAACACUGCGUUAAUGUGUUUAGUUGUUUACUACUUGGCCAUCUGAACGCUUUGUGUUUUACGAAAUCAAUUAUUUACAUGUAUUAGAAACUUAAAAAACAAAAAUAAAUAUGUCAGAUGAUUUCAUACCCUUAAACCAAAGUACUCCAGUUCGAAACAGAUGGCAAAAUGGGAAUCAACAGCAAAUGGGUUAUCAAAAUAAUUGGCAACAUAAGAAUCACCAACGAAGAGGACAUAAUCGAAAUCGCUGGUCAAAUAAUUCUCAACACACUAAUAGUUUUGGGAGCGACGUUAACACUAGCUAUGACAGAGAAAACAAACCUAGCAUUGAAUCCUAUUUGCAUCCUUCAAUGUUAGAAGAUCCUUGGGAGAAGCUAAGGCAAAAGAUGCAGUCAAAACAAAAAUAAGAACAUUUUAAUUAUUUUGUUGUAAGGACUAUACAUUUAAACGUAAUUGUGUAAAUAUUGUGUUAUAUUUGUUGACAAUAUCUUGUAUAAGUAUACUUACUUAAUAAACAAUGUAAUUUUUACAGAAAUAAAAUAAGUUUUUCAUUAUUAAGAUAUCAGUUUGUGUUAAGUUGGUUUUUCUGAGUAAGUAAUUAUGUAAAAUAUUUGUUGUAAUUAACUUAAAUUAGUACUUUCGAGGUGACUUCGUACAAAAAUAUUAUACUUCUAAACGUAAUGCAACAAUAUGCAUUACUUCUAGUAAGAAACGCGAAAA
rnacentral:misc_RNA from 1 species